GUCGAGAAUAAUUCACAAUGGGGGAAACCCUGAUGGUGCAACGCCGCGUGGAGGAUGAAGGUCUUCGGAUUGUAAACUCCUGUCAUGCGUGAACAAGGUUGCUUGGUUAAUACCUGGGCAAAUUGAUGGUAACGCAAGAGGAAGAGACGGCUAACUCUGUGCCAGCAGCCGCGGUAAUACAGAGGUCUCAAGCGUUGUUCGGAAUCACUGGGCGUAAAGGGUGCGUAGGUGGCGUGGUAAGUCAGAUGUGAAAGCCCGGGGCUCAACCUCGGAACUGCAUCCGAUACUGCCAUGCUAGAGUACUGGAGAGGUGACUAGAAUUCUCGGUGUAGCAGUGAAAUGCGUAGAUAUCGAGAGGAAUACCAAAGGCGUAGGCAGGUCACUGGACAGUUACUGACACUGAGGCACGAAGGCCAGGGGAGCGAACGGGAUUAGAUACCCCUGUAGUCC
rnacentral:rRNA from 1 species